GACCCUUUGCAAAGAAUAAAACCCUUAAAAGACGUCUGGAUUGGACUCUUUAUUUCAGAAGACAAACUAAAGGACAAAUUUCCAUUACAUUUGGUGUCAGAAGUGGGAUGGUUUGGCAAAGUUUGUCUGGGACCUGAGACGGCCGGCGACUGAUCAGCCUGGAGUAAAGUGUCUCAGCCUCCACCUCGCUGACUUAAGAGACGGGAGGGUCGACCGUCCGCGCCCCGGACCGUUGCCACUACCAUCUCAAAAAAGAGUUGGACCUACGUUGUCCUUAAAAACGCAGGUUAAAGAGGCCCUACCCUCUCCAGCGACAGAACCACUGCACAGUCUCCUAGAGUCUCCUUUUGUGGUGGUUAAGGACUUCAGAAGAAAGCACUGGAAAGCGCAGAGGUGGAAAGCUGCUCCUGACAACAUACACAGCGGUAAAAGUGGCUGAAAGAGCUACGUGGAUUCACGCCAGCCACUGCAGGAAGGAGCCUGCACCAGUACAACAAUAGAUCAACAAGCGUGCACAAUCAGCACCUCGUGUUGUGAGUGAAGGAGGGAUUGGGAACGCUUAGGCUCCCUUUGUCUCGGACUCACAGGCUGUUAGACAGCAAACAUCAGCACAAGGGAGCUAGUGGGAAAACUCCUGGUCUCACCACUGCUGAUUUAAGUGACGCCGCAAAAAAUGAAGAGUGGGUAGCAUGGUUGUCUCUGGAAGGAGACGUCAUGGGACCCAGUCAGACACCCAGACAUGUGUGGCCUACGAGGAGCAACAGAGAUGUUUGCUGCCAUUGCAACAGCAUGAACAGUGCCUCUGUUGCAGUUCUUAGAUCACAAGCGUGAUGCACAAAAGCCACCACGACAGAACACCACAGUGAACUACAGGCAUUGACAUCAAAUAGCAGUGUUGGAGGCAAGAGAAGCACCCAAAGAGGCUGGGAUGCUGGGCUAAUGUUUAAUAACUCCUGCUGUAUGUUUGUGCCCAACAAUACAGCUCCAGAUGGUUCGGUGAACUGAGUGCUGGAAGGACUGCGUUCCCUACGAGAAGAACUUGCAGAGAACUCUGAAGUGGACACUAACAUGUUCGACCGGUCAGAUUCUGUGUUUGCUAAAUAAAAGGCCUUAGUGAUGCCCACACUAGCAGGUCUAAUGAUUGCUGUAGCUCUCUGUGGAUGUUGCAUCAUUCCAUGUGCCAGAGGUCUGAUUGUAGGAGCUAUUGAGAAAAGUGUCUCCAUUCAAAUGAUCACACUCGUCUGGAUUGGAAUCUUUUUCAUUCAUCUCACAUUUCAGAAGACUCACUAAAGGACAAAUUUCCAUUACACCAGUCAUGUAAGGAUUUCCAUAAACUUUAGUCACAAACAUAAAAAAUGUGCUCUGUUGUUUCUACAUUUGUGUUGCAUAGGUGACAGUUUUCUACAUCACAUUUCAAUCUUAGAAUUUUAAACUGCAUUUCUUUGUUUUUAGGAAGAAGUGGAAAUUAAAGAUAUUUUGUUCUAAUAGCUGAUA